UAAUACCGCAUAGAUCCAAGAACCGCAUGGUUCUUGGCUGAAAGAUGGCGUAAGCUAUCGCUUUUGGAUGGACCCGCGGCGUAUUAGCUAGUUGGUGAGGUAACGGCUCACCAAGGCGAUGAUACGUAGCCGAACUGAGAGGUUGAUCGGCCACAUUGGGACUGAGACACGGCCCAAACUCCUACGGGAGGCAGCAGUAGGGAAUCUUCCACAAUGGACGCAAGUCUGAUGGAGCAACGCCGCGUGAGUGAAGAAGGCUUUCGGGUCGUAAAACUCUGUUGUUGGAGAAGAAUGGUCGGCAGAGUAACUGUUGUCGGCGUGACGGUAUCCAACCAGAAAGCCACGGCUAACUACGUGCCAGCAGCCGCGGUAAUACGUAGGUGGCAAGCGUUAUCCGGAUUUAUUGGGCGUAAAGCGAGCGCAGGCGGUUUUUUAAGUCUGAUGUGAAAGCCCUCGGCUUAACCGAGGAAGCGCAUCGGAAACUGGGAAACUUGAGUGCAGAAGAGGACAGUGGAACUCCAUGUGUAGCGGUGAAAUGCGUAGAUAUAUGGAAGAACACCAGUGGCGAAGGCGGCUGUCUGGUCUGUAACUGACGCUGAG
rnacentral:rRNA from 1 species